rnacentral:tRNA from 1 species
GGGCCGUUAGCUCAAUCGGCAGAGCAGCGGACUUUUAAUCCGCGGGUUGUGGGUUCGAGUCCCACACGGCCCACC